GAAAGAUAUUAGUUAUAGCUAUGUUCACCUUUCUUCUAUUCGUAUAUGAUGAAAGAAUGCUACUAGAUCAGACAUGUUAUUUGCGUGGCUUCUACAGAUGAUGUAAUGUAUCCAUCGAGCUUUCUUAUUCUUAUAUCUUGGCUUUCUUGAUUAUAAAUUUUUUCUCACUCUUUUCCCUUUUUUUUUUAUUUUCUUUGUUUCAUGAUGUUUG
rnacentral:misc_RNA from 1 species